CAGAUCUCUGGAGCCCUUUUCAGCUCAUUAGCAUUUGUGCUUGCCCUGGGGGAAGAAUCCACCAUUCCAGCUCAGGCAAUCAGCUGCCAGCUCCUCCCCUCUGUGAGCAAUGAUCCUUACUUCAGACCUUGCCUGAACAUUCUUCAUAGCACUUGCCUUCUUUUUCCUGAAAUCAAGGGAAGAGUAGAAUUUGCUGGAUCCUUCCUAGAAGAGUCUCUACAAAGAUGUGAUGCAGGAAACCUACUUGGACCUCACUGUUAUAGGCCACACUUGGGAAGACUAUCAUAUUGAAGGACAUUGUCAAAGUUUGAGAAGACAUGAAAGGUAAUCUUCAUGUGCACUCUGAUACGCAUAUGGCUCUGAGGAAAUUUUAAUAUGUUCUGGAAGCUCUAAAGAAAAGCAAGAGUGCCGGGCAGUAGUGGCGGACACCUUUAAUCCCAGCACUUGGGAGGAAGAAGCAACACAGGUAAACCUUAAACUUUAUGUUUCUUCUAAAAAGACAUGGUGAUUAAAAUGACAGAUUUCUGAGUUCAAGACCAGCCUGGUCUACACAGUGAGUUCCAGGACAACCAGGGCUACACAGAGAAACCCUGUCUCAAAAAAAAAAAAAAAAAAAAAAAAAAAAAAAAGAAAAAAAGAAAGAAAGAAAGAAAGAAGAAAAGAAAAGGAGUAUAAAAUAUCAGUCCUUUAAGUGUAACUAUGAUUGUAGUAUUCUUACAAAAUCUUGUAACUCAAUGUCAGUUAUCUGAUUUUUCUAUCAAAGCAUUCCUCCUUUAAAAAGAAAAGACAACAAAACAUUGCCUUAACAGAUAAACUUUAUUUGAUUUGUAGCUCCAUUAGAGCUAUACUGUGGAUCUACCAAUGUGUAUACACUCAUAAUACUUAGAUAUUGCACAUUGAAUAGUGAUGAAUAUGUAUCCAAAAUCUUCUAAUAAGCAAAUAGUCCAUGGUAAACUUGGUGAUAAUCAUAUUCUUGUAGUGAUACUGAUAAGUUUGUUUAGAGUACAGUUUAUGAGAUUCAAGAGUGUUGUCAUUGGAGAAACCUUAAUUCAUAUACUACAUGUCUGAGGAACUAAAAGUCAAACAGUGUGAAUGCAAUGUAGAACCUUUUCAUUUCUUAUUCUUCUUUUAAUAGGUGUAUCAUGUGUUCCAAUCGAUAAAAGCCAUGUGAGCACAGGAAUAUUGAAAGAAGCAAUGUACCUUUUUCCUAUCACAGAAUAAUGAGAUAAUAUGUAGUAUUCUGCCUUUGGAGACAUUCUGAAUAUGAUAGAAGUUUGCAAUUAAUUGAUUUUCUAAUUUUACUGGGAACAUCCCCAAACUCACACUGUAGAAGAUAUUUAUGGGUACUAGGGAUUUGGAUAUUCUUCUGUUUGUCCUGGUCAACAGGCAACAGGCACAUGUGGUAUAAUUUACAUUACAGGAAAAAUUAUGAAUGUAAUUAGUGUUAUAAAUCUCUGAGUUGUUCCAUUUUUCUUCAAAUUGGUAGAAUACAUCAUAUAAAAAUCCCAUAUAAGAAAGGAUGUUGAGCCGGGCAGUGGUGGCGCAUGCCUGUAAUGCCAGCACUUGGGAGGCAGAGGUAGGCAGAUUUCUGAGUUCAAGGUCAGCCUGGUCUACAGAAUGAGUUCCAAGACAGCCAGGGCUCUACAGAGAAACCCUGUCUCAAAAAAAAGAAAAGAAAGAAAGGAUGUUAUGAAUGUCAGUCAUGUAAUAACCAUCACAGGUAUCUUGAAAGAUGCAAAACAACCCAUUAUGAGGGAGAAAACUAUGACCCUAUGAAGUGAUACAACCCAAUGAUCUGAUUCUUCUUUACCAUUAGACCAAAUUGUAAAGUUAAUUCAUACUGACAAAACGAUUGAAUAGGGUAAUAAAUGUAGUAAAGAUUUCACAUGUGCUGGCUAUCAUUGCAGGCAUGUAAGAAGUCACAGAGGAGAGAAACCCUAUGAAUGUACUCAAUGUGGUAAAGCCUUUUCAUUUC